UUUGUUUUUCACUAUGAACCCCAAGCUAGCAGUCUAUUGUGAAACAUCUUGACUGGUAGACAUGCAUGAAAAUUUUAAAUAGGACAAAUUGGUCACAGCCUGCUUGGACAAAGAUUUUCGUUUGACGAUUCCAUCUUGCUUUUUUUACACUCUUGAUGGUCCUUGUCCUUUAAAACUAUGGUGGUCUGCCCCUUUUAUCUUUGUUGUCGUUGGCUGUCCUUUUCACAUCUUCUGGGCCUGAAAACUCUUGCGUCUUCUUUAUUUGCUCUCACCGAUAUUGUAUUUGAAUUGAGAUGCUAUUCUAGAUUCAUGAUUUCUGGGAAAUACUGCUUUCAACUUUCGUCAGCAUAAUCACCUAAGUUUGCCACCUCAUUGGACUGGAAGACAUCUCGUCUAUUGGCUCAGCCAGUUUGAUUCUCGCUAAUGGCGGUACUUGCAAAAAUGACUGAUUAGGAAUAUGACCUCUGUCGUUGUUUUGUAUGUGCAACUAGAGAUAGCCCAGAAUUCUGCCAACUGCUCUUUCUUUUCCAUCUUUUUCCUCCCAGUCACAUACAUUUUACUUGUUCUCUAUACUCGAGUAGGCAGGUCGUUUCCGGACGUGUCAGAAGGGAAAGGAACGAGACAGAUAAAGGUUGUGCACAUUCUUGACUCCGUCUCUGUGCUUAUCCUACAGUAUCACCAUUCUUCAAUGAAACAUUUGCCACAGCUUCUGAUCGAAAUUUUCACACAUCUUCACCAGCUAGCUAUGAAGCUAAUUUUUCAAUUAAGCAGCUAAGCACCUUAAACAGCUCCAUUUUCACAUUACAGCUGCAAGCAAUGACCCCUUGGAUUUAAUCGCGCACUCAGCAUUGCCUCUUGCCUCGAAUGGGAUGGACUUUAACAGCCAAGCUGUUGUUGAGGGGGUGAGAGAAUGCUGGAAUAGCAUGGAAGCGUUAAUGUCAAUGCCACAUAUGUUAAUGUGGAAAGCUUUUCUUCUCCCCAUGUUACGCUGCUCUUCAUCCUAUUUCAGCACAAUGUGAACGCAGAAAGUCUCAGCACCAACACGUUAAAUUGAUGGCACUAAAGGUUAGGCUAAUUGCUUUACACGACUGAAAAUGUAAAAGUAACGAUGCAGACAAAGGUAUAAAGGACAGACGCUGCUUGUUGGGAAAAAUGGUAGUGCUUGUUUGUGAGGCAUCAGCUUGAGGAAUUUGUUUCAUUCCCCUGCUGAAAUGUGUGUUAUAUAUUCUAUUUAUGUGUGUUUUUGGCUCACAUUUCUACAACUUUUAUGGAUACAUUUCUUAGCAUAUUCUAUUUGUGCUGAGCUCAAGGAACCGGUUUGGAGCUUAGUUGCAACUUAUGCUUGCCUUUUCUUUUUAGUUCUUUAUGAGCAAAAUAUCUGUUGAGAACUUCAGAAAAAGGCAGGAAGUGAAAAUUAUGUAAGAACUCUUAAUUAAAUAUGCUGCUCCUGCAUGCCGCGUUUUCUUUUUCUGAUACUGUAUUUGAGUAAUUAAUAGUUGCUCUCAUCUAAGGUAGCGCAAGAUUAUUUUUCUUUUUCACUAUGAUCACAUGUUAGUUCGGCUAUUCAUUUAUGCAAAUGCAAAAGAGCGAAAUGUUGAGCUUGAUUCUUUAGGUAGCAUUCAAUGAACUGUGUAGAAAUUGUGCACGAAAAAUGUCCCUCCGGGUCCUUUUUGGUGUGCAAGCAUGUAUGUAUAGUAUGGCUUAUUAAGAUGUCUGUAUAGAUUUAAGACUGUUGUCCUAGGUUUAACCAAACUCUACAACUGUUACUUGUUUUGAAGAAUGCCCUGAUGAAAAUGUGUGUUUCCUGUAACUAAAAUGCAGUGACUAUGAAAUGACUGGAAAGCUGAGCAUGCGUGUAAAAUGUAGGUUGCUGUUCGUAAGAGCCAUUAAUACUUUCGAUAUCUCCUUAGUGUAGAUGUGGAGAGCUAUUUGAACUGUUUGAUAAAGCUCUUUCGGUUCUUGUAUUCAUUUGUGCUGCAUUUGUGCAACUUUUUUUUGUACCUACUUGAUGUUAGGCGACAUUGUAGGAAUUCAUGGAACAAAAAGGCAGGCCUUGAAGACAUUGACACGAGUAGAAUAAGUUGUACAGUACAUACUUCCCAUUCUAUUUGUGUCUACAUUUAACAUGUCUGCCUCUCAAUGCCGCAUUCUCCUUUAAUAC
rnacentral:lncRNA from 1 species